rnacentral:rRNA from 1 species
UACGGAGGGUGCGAACGUUAAUCGGAAUCACUGGGCGUAAAGCGCGUGUAGGCGGCCCGAUAAGUCCGCUGUGAAAGUCCAGGGCUCAACCCUGGGAUGCCGGUGGAUACUGUCGGGCUCGAGUCCGGAAGAGGAGUGUGGAAUUCCUGGUGUAGCGGUGAAAUGCGCAGAUAUCAGGAGGAACACCGGUGGCGAAGGCGGGUCUCUGGGCCGAUGAUGACGUGAGGAGCGAAAGCUGGGGAGCGAACAGG